GUGAGGAAUAUUCCGCAAUGGGGGAAACCCUGACGGAGCAAUGCCGCGUGCAGGAUGAAGGCCCUCGGGUCGUAAACUGCUUUUAUAUGAGAAGAAUAUGACGGUAACAUAUGAAUAAGGGACGGCUAACUACGUGCCAGCAGCCGCGGUCAUACGUAGGUCCCAAGCGUUAUCCGGAGUGACUGGGCGUAAAGAGUUGCGUAGGCGGCUAGUUAAGCGUGAAAUGAAAUUUAUCGGCUCAACCGGUAAACUAUUUCGCGAACUGACGGGCUGGAGAGUAUGAGAGGUUACUGGAAUUUCUAGUGUAGCAGUGAAAUGCGUAGAUAUUAGAAAGAACACCAACGGCGUAGGCAGGUAACUGGCAUACAUCUGACGCUGAGGCACGAAAGCGUGGGGAGCGAACCGGAUUAGAAACCCGAGUAGUCC
rnacentral:rRNA from 1 species